rnacentral:rRNA from 1 species
AUGCUGGACGCGUCCUUCAACACAAAGCUUGGCGACUUUGGCCUCGCGAGGCUCGUCGACCAUGGCAGAGGAUCACACACGACGGUGCUCACUGGCACCAUGGCGUACAUGGACCCAGAGUGCAUGGUCACCGGUAGAGCAAGCCCCGAGUCCGAUGUCUACAGCUUCGAGGUAGUGGUCCUUGAGAUUGCCAAUGGCCGGCGCCCGCUCGUAAUCAUCCCCAAGGAAGACGAAGAAGAAUCUGCCAUGCACAUGGUGCAAUGGUUCUGAGAUUUCUUCAACGACGGCUGUAUUCUGGAUGCCGCCGAUGAGCGCCUAGAAGGCGAAUUCGAUAGCGGGGAAAUGGGGCGUGUGAUGGUGGCCGCGCUCUGGUGUGCGCACCCGGACAGCAGCAUGAGGCCGUCCAUUAGGCAGGCGGUCAACGUGAUGCGGUCCGGCAGUAGCAAAAGCAGCAACAGCAACAACCAAGGUUUUGGAUUUCGAAUGGACGGAUUUUCUCAUGGGGGGGGGCGAGAUCCUCGGUUACCACGGUAA